rnacentral:rRNA from 1 species
UACGUAGGGCGCAAGCGUUGUCCGGAAUUAUUGGGCGUAAAGAGCUCGUAGGCGGCUUGUCACGUCGGGUGUGAAAGCCCGGGGCUUAACCCCGGGUCUGCAUUCGAUACGGGCUGGCUAGAGUGUGGUAGGGGAGAUCGGAAUUCCUGGUGUAGCGGUGAAAUGCGCAGAUAUCAGGAGGAACACCGGUGGCGAAGGCGGAUCUCUGGGCCUUACCUGACGCUGAGGAGCGAAAGCGUGGGAGCGAACAGG